rnacentral:lncRNA from 1 species
UGAACACACAUGCAUUCACAUACAUAUACACAAGGGCUGUAGAUAAAUUAUAUGUAUGAUUAUUUAACCUGUCAGUGAUCAGUGUAUGGUAAAGUUACUGUGAAAACUCUCGAUAAACAUUUGCUGCUUUAUUUCCAGUCUGUAAUUAAAAGUAACUUGAAAAAACACAUUUCACCAGCACUUUUUACUGGAAAACCCCAGACAGACAGACCAAAUAGUUAAGACCAGUUGAUACCCCCUGUUUUUACCCUCUUUUUUGAACAAACACCAGGAUCCUUUCCUAAAGACAAGCUCUGCUUUACAUAUAUAUUUUAAAAAGAAAAUGAAUCACAACUGAUCUAGUAAUCACAGUGAAAAAAAAAAGACCUGUCACUAUUGUGGUGGUCUUUCACUUCCUGAACUGUUGUCUCUCAACCACGUCUCUCAGUUAACCACACUUCACUGACGUCAGCAAUCAGCCAAUAUAAAACGCUGGAGGCAUAAACAGACGGUGGUCAUAAUGAUUCCUCUUACGUUUUCCUUGGCGGUUAUAUUCUUACUGAAUAUUUGGACUAGUGGAUAUGCUACAAGCUGUGGGGCUAAUCAGACUGAUAUCAAUGGACUUUGUUGUGACUUAUGCCCACCAGGUACGUACAUGAAGGAUUUCUGCACAGUCAACAACCCAACUGUGUGUAGUCCCUGUAAUGAGGGAUACUUCUCAGACAAAUUCAUCAUCUUUGACAGAUGUCAGGAAUGCCAGAUAUGUCAACAGGAAUAUGCUGAGAAAUGUACGCCUACGAUGAAUGCAAAGUGUUCAUGUCGCUCUGGUUUCCUGUGUUCCGACAACAUCUGUUCAACUUGUGAGGAAAAUAAAUGUGUCACAGGGGAGAAAGUGAAUAAGACAGCCAUUCCCACAGGUGGGGGAUUGGUCAAGUAUUCAUAUCAGUGUGAGCCUGCCUGUGCUGAUAAUACAUAUUUUGACGUGAAAGAAGAUAAGUGCAAAGCAUUUACACAGUGCAGUGCAUUUAGACUUCAGGAAAGAUUUCCAGGAAACAAAACCCACAACUCAGUUUGCAGUGUAUAUGCAGGUAUGCAGGACAGUGACUCCCUUCAAGUGAUUUUUGGCAUCGGCUUUGUUUUACUCUGUUUCUCUCUCCUUGUGUUUGUAUUUCAUGCCUGUACAAAGAACCUAAGGAAGCACAAAGCAAACAAAAAUCCUAUCUUACCAGUCUCUACCAACAUUAGUGACUUUCACCUGUCAAAAGAGGAGAGUGGAAUCCAGCUUGUCAUUCAGGAUGAAUCCAAGGACUGCAAUACUUCUGGUGAACUGUAUCUGGGAAAAGAGACCACACACUAAAAAAAAAAAAAACUAAGAUCACAUGAAGAGUGCAAAAGCAGUAUCAGCACAUAUUUAAAUAUGCAGAGAAAUCUGUGAAGGUCAGGGGUGCAGGCUUGUGAUGGUCCCUGAAGGUGGAACAUGACUACUGCUGCUUAGGUUCCUGUGGCCAAGGCACUAUGAUUGUUGCUGCACCCAGAUGUCAAUGUGUGAAUGUUUAUGAAUCUUGCAAAAGAAUCUGAACAAUGAGAUGAUUUUACUUUUCUCAGGAACAUAACUUUUUUUGAUCAUCUGAUCAUGGGUGGCAGAGUGGGCCACUGGGACUUUACAACAGGCAUGGGUUUGUUUGGUUGGUUCAUUCUGCUGCAACCAAAAAACAACUUUGUGUAUGUUUUAAAUAUCAAACAAGCAAAGAAGCUAACAAAAUGAAAAAAAAAAGCUAGGGUAAGAUGCCCCUAUAACAGAACUUUGUGUAAACUGCUGUUUUUAAAUGUACAUCAUGAUACAUACUGAAAUAUACUCAGUUUUGGCGUAUAAUGGUGUAAUGGUAUAAUUGUAUUGUAUAUUUUUUCAGAGUAACUUUACUAACAAUAAAUAAAUAAAAUCAUGUAAAACAUACCUCCUUGGGCUUCUUGUCCAAGGAGGCUGUAGAAUGAACUGUUUUGCUGUUUUUAUGUGUUAUAUGCAUCAAUGUACUCAUACUAAUAUUUAUAAAUAUUUUGAUUUAUUACUUUCACUAUAUAAGCUUGAAGGCUUAUACUAUUAUUAUUUUCUACAAUGCACCAAUCUGCUGCCAGUGUGUCAUGUGCCUUUUAUAGAUUAAUAAUUUUAUUCAGAAAAUGUCAUAAACCAUGAGUUUUAAAAAUAGGACAAAGAAAACGGACUCAAAACAUGUUUU